rnacentral:tRNA from 1 species
GCAGUCGUGGCCGCGUGGUUAAGGCGAUGGACUCGAAAUCCAUUGGGAAAUUCUCGCGCAUGUUCGAAUCCUGCCGGCUGCG